AUGGGAUGCCCCUGUGCAGUCUUGAGCAAAGAGAGCGGAAGCUAAUACAGAAAAAGGAAAAAUAGAAAUCAGAGCUUCAUAACAGAACAUGUUAGAACUCAAAACCCUAACCCUACACCUCAGCAAGCGAUUAAUGCUAAACCUACCAUCUUUAGCUGCGUGAAAAUCCGAACCCAAAAUUGCCUGCAAAGAUCGGAUUAACAAUCAAAUAAACUGAUCCCUUUUUUCGGCCGAGACAAUGUACACAAAGAAAAAGCAGUAAAAUCAUUAAAUUUCUCUCUUUUUUACCAUCAAAACCUUGAUACUACAUGAAUGUUUUCCAAAAAUACGUGAUGAUAGAGAAAAUGAAUCCACUAUAGAGAUUUGAAAAGGAUAUUCAAAGCCUUUUACCUUGUUAAUCUUUGUCUUUUUCUUCCACGAAAACGUAGGGUUCCUUCAAAGUGGCAGGGUAUUACACUUGCAGUGUAUUAAGUAGAGUAGAGCUUGUUGUAAAUUGAAAAUUGAAAAUUUUCCAUUAUACCGACGUUGCGACUAUGAAAGUAUGACUUGGGUUACACGCUGGCU
rnacentral:lncRNA from 1 species